GGGAGCAGGUGCCGAGCAGCCGCCCACGCCGCACCGCACGGUACCGCGCCGCACGGUACCGCAUCGCACCGCACCGCAUCGUACCGAGCCCAGCCGAGCCCAGCCGCACAGACAGGACAUAUGCAAAAUCAUUUUACCAUGGCACAAAUACAGGAAAGAUGAUUUGGAAGAAAGGCCAGAGGCCAGAGGCUCCAUUUCUAAUUCUUCCUCUCACCUGCUGCAGACUGUGGGAACUUUUGAGCCUCUCAGUCAAUCAGAAUAAAAAAGCAUUGUAAGUCUCAAGAAUAAAUACAUGCCUGUAACACUUCAUGGAUACUUCUGGUUCGAAAGCAGAAGGAAACACGAAUCAGAGCUCUUGCUGAGCAAAGGUGAGGACAGCACAGCUGGUGCCAUCUGCUUGGCAGCAGCCAAUGGGCAAACCAAGACUGGCCACUCAUCGGCACGAGGCGAAGUUUGGACAAGCCAGGGCAGAAAUGACUUCUUGGCUGGCGAGGGUUCAACAGUGAGAUCCAGCUGCUCCCAUGGGUGGGAGGCUUCCAGGAGCACAGGGCACAUCUUCCUCACAAGCGUGUCUCUAGUUCUGUGCUUCACAGCUGUAGUUACAGUUCUGUCACCAAAUUCUGCCUUCCCUCCCAAAAUAGUCGUGAUGUUUUGUAGAUUACACAUGGCAAUACCAUUCCUCUUCUAAGGAGAUUACAAUUUUGGGAUAUAAAUUAUAUUAAUUCCCAAAACCUACCUUCUAGAUUUUGAGUUACAGACUGGAAUAUAAUCUCACUGUACCAAAACCAUCCAGCUAUUCUCAGAUAGGCCUGAUCCUUUUCUUAAUGUAGCCAAAGCAAAGCUCUCACUGAGUUUAGUGUGACAUGACCAAACUUGGGCUGUGCUGCUUUUUAUUUGGUUAGUAGCACUUGACAGGAUAAUGUAAGCGUAUCUUUUGUACGUACUUCGUAUGUGGCAGCACUGUAUGGUAGGCAAAAGCAGUAUGAGAAAUCCCCACAAAAAUAAUUAAAAACCCAAACAACCGAUAGUAGGAAAAAAAAAAAAACCCACCAUGAAAAAAACCACAAAAUCAAUAGAUUAUGAAAGCUGCUCUGAGCCUUCCACUGCUAUCAUCUCAAGGCUUUAUAAUCAAAUAUCAAAAAAAAUACUUUCUGCAAUAUCAAAACAUUCACAAUAAUAAUAUAAAAACUCCAGUCAAUCUGUUCCUGCAGGGAUCUGAUCUAAAAAUCCACAAGAAAAAAAAUAAUAAUUGCUGUGAAAAUGGCAGUUAGCCAGUUCAAUCAUUCUGCCAGCCUGGUUCUAUAAUUGUAUGCUAGUCACUGCAUUUCAGUGCCACCACUGUAGAUAACUUCAAAAGAAUUGCUCAAGCAAACAAACUAUAACCAAAUCAGACAAAAUAUGAAGCCUUUUUGAAAAGCUCCUAAGUGCUGUUAUCAGGUGCUCUAUUUGUGGCUUCAUGUCUUUUUAUAUCUAGUGUAACUGAUUGCCUAUCAUUUAGAAAUGAUAACUUAGAAACUCUACCUGGCAUCCUCCUGCAAAGGAGCAGUUCUUAUCAACUUUAACAUUCCUCAGAUUUCCUUAUCUCGAAGGCAAAAGGCACUCCAGAUGGCAUAGGAAACCUUUGUCCUUGCUGUCUGUGGGAAUGAAGUUUUAAGGAAAUCAGGUUUCUACAUGGAAGACCUCUUUGGUUUGAGACUAAUUCUGUACCUUUCCUGCAUACUUAUGCAUAGUGCCUUAAAAUCUAACAACUCCUUUUGAACCUACAGCCUGUAGUUCAUAAUGGCAGUAUUUGACGGGUGGGGGAAUAUUCUUCAUUUACUAGUAUAACAAGAAAAGGAAAGAAAGCUUUCUGGUCCAGUGCACCCAGAGUGAUUUGCUUCAUUCCUGUUUGACACCUGAAACCCCUUGUCUGACCAGAGAUUUAUAAUCCCACUCAGCUCUUUGUAGUGCACUGUUGUACUUAACAGAUAUUUAUA